rnacentral:rRNA from 1 species
UACGUAGGGGGCUAGCGUUGUCCGGAAUCAUUGGGCGUAAAGCGCGUGUAGGCGGUCCGGUAAGUCCGCUGUGAAAGUCGGGGGCUCAACCCUCGAAUGCCGGCGGAUACUGUCGGGCUAGAGUGCGGAAGAGGCGAGUGGAAUUCCUGGUGUAGCGGUGAAAUGCGCAGAUAUCAGGAGGAACACCUAUUGCGAAGGCAGCUCGCUGGGACGUAACUGACGCUGAGACGCGAAAGCGUGGGGAGCAAACAGG